CGGAGGGUGCAAGCGUUAUCCGGAUUCACUGGGUUUAAAGGGAGCGCAGGCGGAUUUGUAAGUCAGUGGUGAAAGGCUUAAGCUUAACUUGGGAACUGCCAUUGAUACUAUAAGUCUUGAAUGUUGUUGAGGUUUGCGGAAUGGGUCAUGUAGCGGUGAAAUGCAUAGAUAUGACCCGGAACACCUAUUGCGAAGGCAGCAGGCUAAACAAUAUUGACGCUGAGGCUCGAAAGCGUGGGAUCAAACAGGAUU
rnacentral:rRNA from 1 species